rnacentral:rRNA from 2 species
CUCUUAUUAGUACGAAAGGACCAUAAGAGUAAAAUAAUUUUAUUGUCUUUUGAUUACUAUUAAUUUAAGUUAAA